AUAUUGCACAAUGGGCGCAAGCCUGAUGCAGCGACGCCGCGUGAAGGAUGAAGGUCUUCGGAUUGUAAACUUCUAUCAGCAGGGAAGAAUAAAUGACGGUACCUGACUAAGAAGCCCCGGCUAACUACGUGCCAGCAGCCGCGGUAAUACGUAGGGGGCGAGCGUUAUCCGGAAUUACUGGGUGUAAAGGGUGUGUAGGCGGGAUCGCAAGUCAGUGGUGAAACCCGUGGGCUCAACCCACGGCCUGCCAUUGAAACUGCGGUUCUUGAGAAUGGGAGAGGUAAACGGAAUUCCCGGUGUAGCGGUGAAAUGCGUAGAUAUCGGGAGGAACAUCGGUGGCGAAGGCGGUUUACUGGACCAUAACUGACGCUGAGACACGAAAGCGUGGGGAGCAAACAGG
rnacentral:rRNA from 1 species